CCGACUUCAUUAAUAUACACUAACGUGUAUAUACGGCCGUUUCAAUUUUUGAUUUUCCAUUAGAAAAAAUGUUCCGCCGCCUAGUGCAUAUUGUGGCGCCCUCAAACGACAGAUCUCGUGCUAUUUCUGUCAAAUUAAUUGUCGAGUUGAAACUGACAUUGACAACAAAUUUUACUCGAAGCAUAAAAAAAAGCAGUUUGGUUCAGAUAAUAAGGUUUUUUUUUAAUUUUAUCACAAAACACAGUUUAAAAUUUAAUGCAAAUCUCUUGACAGAAUCUGUGGUCUCCAAGCAAAGAUUGCUGAGAACUGGCUUUACAGUCGUUUUGAUUAUAUAUUUGCACACAGAAUCCCUGUGAUUUGCACAGACGAAAAUGGGAUUUUGCACAAGAAAUGGCAACAUUUGCUGGAUGCUUUCAGCUAUCAGCUGAAUAAUACCAACAAAGAUAUCUUUGGGAUAGACUAAACCUCCUCGGUUUUGAAUGGCAAUCAAUUGUAGCAAAGGACCUGGAAUGCUAGUACAUAAUAGAGGUGUUAAACAUUCAUCACAAUGAAAUAAAUCUUCUAAUUUUUUUAUUAUGUAUCCUGCCAAGAAAGCUACUGAUGCUGAGAAAAUAUUAUUAUCAGCAGUGUUUGAGGAAUGGGAAGCUUUAACAAUCCCACAACGAAGAAUUUGCCUUAAUGCAUAAUCUGCAGCUCUGGCAUCUGUGGCAUCAUUAGAACCACCUUUCAGUCUUACAUGUGAAAACAUGGCCUCUACUGCGUCUGAGCUGAAGGAUCGCGUUACAACAUAAUAGAAGCCAACCUGGCUUAGCAAAAAAUUUACACAGAGUAAGACCUUUAAAUCCAACAUCUACAGAAGUCUUCUGGAUAUCGUCAAUAUACUUCGGAAAUGUGACAUUUAACCAGUCAAGACGUUCAUCUGAAAUAUGCACAUAUGGUGCAAUACUGCUAUCUAGUGAACGAAGAUAGUGAUCUCUGCUUGAAACAUUAUGCACCUGAAAAAAAUGGUACAUGUUUUCCAUAUAGAAUAUAGAGGCAUCAGCGUCUACAAAGCGAUCGUCCCCUGCAGCUUUUAGAAAUUUUAAAGAAGAGGUUACAGUAGGUGAAAAAACUUGGAUUGCUCUUAGGACAUUCAUUUUUUCAAAGUUUGAUGGAAAUAGAUGCUUCUUUGUUAAAUAUCUGACAGGCUUUACUGGCAUUCCCUUCUGCAAAUCAUACAAUAAUUUGAGAGCAUGGCAGAAAUCGAAACUCAAAAAUAGUGGAAUAUGUUCCAGAAUGGGAUGAUUAAUGGAAUUUUUCAGUGAUCCGUUUCCAAAUUUUUUAAAGAGGGCGACAUUUGUUGAAAUAUUGUCUGUAACAAAUCUAAUCACAAUGUAGCCGCAGUUUGUCAGAAGUUGUAAAAUGUUUUUUGUUAAUAAAUAUAAUUCCUGAGUUGUUAACGACGAGUGGAAAAAAUA